CCUGGUAGCAUAGCCCUAUAGUUCUAGUUGUCUGGGACACUGAGGCAGGAGAAUCAUAAGUCUGAGCAUAGCCUGGGCAACUUAGUGACUUAGCAAGAUCCUAUGUCAAAAAAUAAAAAGGGACUAGAGACAACAGCUCAGUAAAAAGACCCUGGAUUCUGGGCACCAGUAUCACACACACCAAAAGAGUCAAGAAGGAGGGGUACCAAGGACUGAACCCAGGACUUUGAGCUUGCCAGGCAGGCACGGUCCCACUGAGCUAAAUCUCCAGCCCAAGAAGUAUUUGUUUUACUCAUGGACUGAACAAAUAACGUGCAGGUGUUGGAUCUCAGGGAGAAAGACAUUCUGGAGGAGGGUAAUCAGGAUCAGUUAGUUGAAGGCAGUCAACUACUUUCAGUUGACAAAUUAGGUCCCCCCCCCC